rnacentral:lncRNA from 1 species
CAGAUUUUUGCAGUUCAUGUGAGGACUUCUAGCUAAUUUUUGCUGUUUCUAGUUUAAGAUGUCUAUCUUAAAAGCUGCAAGUUUAACACUAUGAAUAGUAAUGUCUUUGUAGUUCACAGAGGGAUACGGCUGAUAUACUCACAGGCGUCUUCAUGGCAAGUUUAUAAGAGAUUUGUAUGGAAGAACUUUUGAAAAUAAUAGGGAAAGCAAAAAAUCCUUUGUAUUCUAGUAUUUUGGGAUAAAAGGAUCCCCCCAGAGCCUCAGAUCUGGUACUUUACCAUUCCCAUAAUGAUGCUCCUAGAUGGGAGCAGAAGACCGGUUUCUCGUUGUCCUUGUGGCAGCAGUAGAUGUUUUGGGAAGGUGCACAAUAACAGGACAUACGUGGAGGGGGAUCCUUUCCCAGGCAGUGAAUCAGAGAAAAAAAAAGCUUGCCAGAGAGGAAUGGAAGAUGAUUUGGAAGCAUGCUAAUGAGCCGGGGGAAAGAUGGAAUUCCCACAUUUUUACUCGUAACUACCUUCACCAGCUGCGAAGACAAAGCCAAGCCAUGGCUUCCUCUCUGCACCCUACCAGCCAUGCUGCGCCUAUUCACUGUCAGGGAACAGACGUGGGAGUGCAGCAGCUCUUUCAGUAUCAUCGUGGAUUUUGGAUUUUGGGUAGUAGUGCUCCAGGUUACCAGACACCUGCCUGUUGAAAGUGAGAAGACCUGCGUUUGGCAGGCUGUAUCAGUUUCAUAACAUCAGACCAUUCAGAGCUUAGCAGGACAGAUAAGAACUCAGAUGAAGUUUCCAUACAUCACCACACAAUGGGGAGGCAAGCUUAGUCAUGAGCAUUCUUCCAGUGUUUUUUCCUUCCUUCCAUACACCGAGAAAAAUAGAUAUUUUCUCUCAAAAUUGCUAAGGAAUGAUUUAUCUAGUAGCUCAUCGUAGUCCUACAGCCUUGAACAUGUGCCUGUCUGCUCCAGUCUCUGCAUAUCGCAAUUACCCGGUGUCUGCUCAUAUUGUCUUAAGUCAAGGGAAGCCUUCAUUGAAGACAGUAAGUGCUCACUGAAGACAUUAACUGCUGCUAUCUGCUUUGGGCACCCAGAUUCCCAAAAGUGAUAUUCCUGUGUGUUGUCUGGGCUUGAGCUGCCUUGAGGAUGCUAUUGAACCUCCAUUGGGCUUUUAUCAGAAAAUAGCUACUUACCCUCUGAACUGCAACACCCCCGAAAGGCAAUGAAGGAACUGCAAAGUGGGAUUGAUGUGUUUGUUGACAGUCAAUAAUGACAACAUUUUGAACUGAGUUUAAUUAUGGCAAUUUUUGUGCAGGAAAGGUGCAGGUUGUGUUCACCAAGUCUAGUGGUUUUAUUUCGACACACUGCAGCACUGAAACAUGCUAAUGUUCCAUUGUCAAGCAGCCGGUAAAAAAAUAAAUAAAAAAAAAAAAGCUGAUAAUUUACA